CAACCUGAGCUCAGUCGUGAUUACCCGCCGAACUUAAGCAUAUCAUUCAGCGGAGGAAAAGAAACUAACUAGGAUUCCCCAAGUAAUGGCGAAUGAAAGGGGAAGAGCCCAGCGCUGAAUCUCUCGGUCUUAGGCCGCUGAGAACUGUAGCGUAUAGGUGUGACUGUCCUGCUAUAUUGCAUUUCCGAAGUCUCUUUGAUAGGGGCCAACAUCCAGAGAGGGUGCGAGACCUGUACGGAAAGUAGUAUGUUGGUAUGGUUACUCCUUGGAGUCGGGUUGCUUGAAAGUGCAGCCUAAAGUUGGUGAUAAACUUCAUCUAAGGCUAAAUAUCGACGCGAAAUCGAUAGCAAACAAGUACCGUGAGGGAAAGUUGCAAAGAACUUUGAAGAGAGAGUUCAAGAGAACGUGAAAUCGCUGAAGUGGAACCGGAGAGAGUUAACAUAACUUGGUAGCUAUAUCCUCUAAAGUCGCUUAACUGUGGCUCUGGGGGGUGGACGCUACCUGUUGUUGCACUGACUGCGUUGAUUGUGCUUUCCGAACAGUAUAGUGUUGCCCACUUUGUGGUGUCUUGCUUUCUGGGAGGUUUGUCAUAAUUAACGUAAAGCCAAUUCCCUUUGGAGUCAGUGUGAAAGUUAACCACCUUUCCGACCCGUCUUGAAACACGGACCGAGGAGUGUAAUUUAUACGCGAGUCAAGGGGUGGUGAAAACCCUAGGGGCGGAAUGAAAGUAAAGGCCGGUUAACCGGUUGACAUGGGAUCCGCUCUUCGGAGCGGCGCACCAUGGCCCUGUCUUGUCUGCUUGCAGAUGGGCAGCGGUAGAGCGUAUAGUUUGCGACCCGAAAGAUGGUGAACUAUGCUUGAGCAGGACGAAGCCAGAGGAAACUCUGGUGGAAGUCCGUAUCGGUUCUGACGUGCAAAUCGAUCGAUAGACUUGGGUAUAGGGGCGAAAGACUAAUCGAACCGUCUAGUAGCUGGUUCCCUCCGAAGUUUCCCCCAG
rnacentral:ncRNA from 1 species